rnacentral:rRNA from 1 species
UACGAAGGGGGCUAGCGUUGUUCGGAAUUACUGGGCGUAAAGCGCGCGCAGGCGGCUCUUUAAGUCUGACGGUGAAAUGCCGGGGCUCAACCCCGUGCCCGCCGCGGAUACUGGAGGGCUGGAGACACGUAGAGGCAAGCGGAAUUCCGGGUGUAGCGGUAGAAUGCGUAGAGAUCCGGAAGAACACCGGAGGCGAAGGCGGCUUGCUGGGCGUAGUCUGACGCUGAGGCGCGAAAGCGUGGGGAGCGAACAGG